CUGGAGGUAACGUCAGGGCUCUCCGUUUCCUGGUAAACUCUGGCGCUAACGUAGCUAGCUGCUAACAAGCUGGUAACGUCGGGUCAUGUGAUCUGGUCAGGAAGAAACAACCAACGAGCGCCGAGGCUACUGUGAGAAACUCAGUCUGCCAGCCCUGCUCUCUGCUCUGACUCUGCUCCCAUACUGGGUAAACAUUGUUGUCCAGCAGUACCCUGAGCGUGCCCACAUCAGGGCCAACCACACGGUAGUCAAAGGUAAGACAGAAGCUGCCGUACUGGGACCGGUCACCAAGAAGCAGUUUCAACCUGGCCACAUCGUCUUGCUCCCCCACAAGCCCACUCAAAGCCAUGUAGUACUCACCACCUGAGAAGCCAUAGCAACACUCCAGUCUCCUACCAUAGCGACACACACCUGGUUGGUUUCCAGUAAGGACUUGCCUGUAGUGCCUUUGCAGAGGAAAAAGAGGAGUCAAAGGUUUUUCAGAGUAGAAGCACACCAUACAACAUCACACGCUCUGUUGCUCGACUUGAUUGACUUACCUAUAGGCGUCUGUGCUACCAGCAGUGAUGUGGAGCAGGAGAAAAAGAGCACCGACCAAAAGGUUGGCUGUCACUGUGAAAUGACACUGGACUGAGACGGAUGAGGUGGUGACUUCUGGAGCUAUAGCACAAGACUGCUCCUGUGGGUGUCUUUGUCACGCACAAGAACCAUUAUUGUGUGUCACUGCCUCGGUCAGCUCACACCCUCAGCUUUUGUGUCUACCUUCCACGCAACUGCUUUUUCCCACCACGGGUAUAAAAAAGAAGACAAAGAAGAAUUGUCCCCUCUUUUAUGCGUUCUGAAUUGACAACACAACGAGGCAGAUGACCAAACUCUUUUGUCCCAGCUUCGGCUUUAUAUAGUCACUGGUAAAAAUGAAAUAAAAAUGUCUUCUGUCAGUUAUACCGGUAGAUUUUCUGAUAUUAAAUAACAGUAUAAGAAAAUGAAUCAAAGAUUUCAGAUACUUUGACGCUAUCUGCUGUGUUUGCCAGUAUCUGUAUUCUGCCAGAAGAGAAAGACAUCCAAGAUAAUUCAAAAAACAAUACUAAGUUGAUGCUACUGUGGGACUAUCUAGAUUACUUUAAAUAACGGCUAACUCAUAAUAUGCCUAUCACAUCAUAGUGGAUUUUUCCAAACCUUUCUUUUUACAUUGUGCCACACUGACAAUAAUAAGCAGGUUUAUUGCCUGUAAGCUUGUCUUCCUGACUGGUAAUAGGUUUUUAUCAUUAUUCUGAAAUAAAUCAUGUUUGUUUCUUCAUCUGGUGGAAUACAACGCAAAUAUAUGUUUACAGCAGUAGUUAAUGUAUUACAUAAGAGUGCAACGGUAAACUGUGCUAAACAGUGUUUACGCUUUGCUUUAUACCUGAAGCCCUAAAAAAAUGCAAGGCUGUGUCUUAACAUGAAAGACAUGCUGUGGCAUGUAGACACAUUUUUUACAUUAUCGCCUGAAGGAAGGUAGCCGAGCGUUUGCUGUGAACACAACAGAAAAUAUUUCACUGUGGAGUUGAGUUUGUCUUGUUUUAUGUCUGCUGUCCGUAGCAGCUGUUCCCAACAGAGUCGACUCAUUAUAUUCCUAGCUGGGCAUUCACUUCCUACAGGAAUAUCCUUUAUUACCUAUUGGCACACCACAAUAAAAACCUCCAGGUGUGGUCAUUUAUUUUGAGUUCUGAUAUUAAUGCAAAAAACAGAAAUGUAAAAUAAAGCCUGGGUAGUGGGAAAAACAACACAUGGAGCAAAACCAUCAUAUAUGAACAAGAUAAUUCCUGAAAUCACAACGCAAUCACAAGCAAUACUAUUCAAAAAUUAGUUCCUCUUGAGAAUUGAAUAGAUUUAGAGCUUUGAACAACACUGUUUGAUCCACAGUGGAAAAUCUCAUCUGCUGCCAUGGAAACACAGAGAAAAGUAGAAGUUCAGCCUUAAACCUGACUGGGUUGUUUUUUUUAGCAGCAGAAGCACAGAAACAACUCUCACCAUAGAGCUGAAAUUCUGUCACUUCCUCUUGCAUGUAAAAAUAAAACUUAUAGGAACAGGCUUGUUUCACUAUUUUAGCAUUUCCUUUUAAAAAGACAAUGGGUCCUAGGUGAUAAUUCCCUAACUGAUACAAAUAAGGGGUGUUCAUUAUUUGUGUUGUUUUUGUGUGUUACAUUGGUUUAAAUAUUAUAUAUUCACUGAAAAUAUUUUUUUAAAAAUAAAAGCUAAGUGCUUUGCCAAAUUGCUUGCU